GCGGUUUAUUAAAGGGUUUAUUAAAGGGUUAAUGACAUACCAGGAGCCAUUGCUUUUGGUCUGGGAUUAUCAACCCACUCCUGGUUUUCCAGGUUAAACUUUGUAGCAGUAAUUAGUUAUUUUAGAUUUGCUGCAGGUGUUACCGAAGUGCCCCCCAACAUGGAGAAGGAGCUAUGAUGGCCAAAAUGGAGGUAAGUAGUUCUCUGCAUAUUUACAUGAAGGAAGAUAUUAGAGAUAUUGUCAUGUCAUUUCAUAAAUCUGAGGUUAAAGGCAGUGAGUAGCUAUUUUGGCUUUAUCGAGUGUUAAUCUGUAAGUAUUUGGGUUAAACUGGAUUCAUAGUGUGUGCUAUUAUGUUAACUCACAGUUAAGGUGUGAUGUACCUGUAACCUGUAAAUCAGUAACCGUUCCAUGAUACUGUGUUUCCACUGUAGGUGGCUGUGUAUUGUGAAAGGCUAUUUAUAAAGUAAAUGGCUUCAAUGACACAGACUGCUAUAUUAUAAAGUCAGAACUUGUCAUGUUUGUUUCACAGA